rnacentral:rRNA from 1 species
CCUACGGGAGGCAGCAGUGAGGAAUAUUGGUCAAUGGACGCGAGCCUGAACCAGCCACGUAGCGUGAGGGAUGACUGCCCUCUGGGUUGUAAACUUCUUUUAUAAAGGAAUAAAACGAGGCACGUGUGCCUUUUUGCAUGUACUUUAUGAAUAAGGAUCGGCUAACUCCGUGCCAGCAGCCGCGGUAAUACGGAGGAUCCGAGCGUUAUCCGGAUUUAUUGGGUUUAAAGGGAGCGUAGAUGGGUUGUUAAGUCAGUUGUGAAAGUUUGCGGCUCAACCGUAAAAUUGCAAUUGAUACUGGCAGUCUUGAGUACAGUUGAGGUAGGCGGAAUUCGUGGUGUAGCGGUGAAAUGCUUAGAUAUCACGAAGAACCCCGAUUGCGAAGGCAGCUUACUAAACUGUGACUGACAUUGAGGCUCGAAAGUGUGGGUAGCAAACAGGAUUAGAUACCCGUGUAGUC